GCCCGCUUAGCUCAGUGGUAGAGCGCAUCACUUGUAUCCGGUUCGAACCGUUGCAAUGAUGAGGUCAGUCGUUCAAACCGGCUAGUGGGCA